UCGUUGAUUACGUCCCUGCCCUUUGUACACACCGCCCGUCGCUACUACCGAUUGAAUGGCUCAGUGAGGCCUUGGGACUGGCUCAGAGAGGUCGGCAACGACCACUCAGA
rnacentral:rRNA from 1 species